CCUACGGGAGGCAGCAGUGGGGAAUAUUGCACAAUGGGGGAAACCCUGAUGCAGCGACGCCGCGUGAGCGAUGAAGUAUUUCGGUAUGUAAAGCUCUAUCAGCAGGGAAGAAAAUGACGGUACCUGACUAAGAAGCCCCGGCUAACUACGUGCCAGCAGCCGCGGUAAUACGUAGGGGGCAAGCGUUAUCCGGAUUUACUGGGUGUAAAGGGAGCGUAGACGGCUGUGCAAGCCAGAUGUGAAAGCCCGGGGCUCAACCCCGGGACUGCAUUUGGAACUGUGUGGCUGGAGUGUCGGAGAGGCAGGCGGAAUUCCUAGUGUAGCGGUGAAAUGCGUAGAUAUUAGGAGGAACAUCAGUGGCGAAGGCGACUAUCUGGACAGCAACUGACACUGAGGCACGAAAGCGUGGGGAGCAAACAGGAUUAGAUACCCGGGUAGUC
rnacentral:rRNA from 1 species